CUAAUACUUCUUCCAUCCUAAAAUUAUUGACUUAAUAAAUUUAUCUAAAUACGAAUGUAUCUAAUUACGUUUUAGUUUAGAUAUAUCCAUAUCUAAACAAAUUUAAGACAAAAAUUUUAGAACGGAGGAAGUAUAAA
rnacentral:pre_miRNA from 1 species